GACAGAGGGGGCAAGCGUUGCUCGGAUUUACUGGGCGUACAGGGAGCGUAGGCGGUUGGAUAAGCCCUCCGUGAAAUCUCCAGGCUUAACCUGGAAAGUGCAGAGGGGACUGUUCAGCUAGAGGAUGGGAGAGGAGCGCGGAAUUCCCGGUGUAGCGGUGAAAUGCGUAGAGAUCGGGAGGAAGGCCGGUGGCGAAGGCGGCGCUCUGGAACAUUUCUGACGCUGAGGCUCGAAAAGCGUGGGGGAGCAAACAGG
rnacentral:rRNA from 1 species